GACCAGACUCCUACGGGAGGCAGCAGUGGGGAAUAUUGCACAAUGGGGGAAACCCUGAUGCAGCGACGCCGCGUGAGUGAAGAAGUAUUUCGGUAUGUAAAGCUCUAUCAGCAGGGAAGAAAAUGACGGUACCUGACUAAGAAGCCCCGGCUAACUACGUGCCAGCAGCCGCGGUAAUACGUAGGGGGCAAGCGUUAUCCGGAUUUACUGGGUGUAAAGGGAGCGUAGACGGCAUGGCAAGUCAGAUGUGAAAGCCCGGGGCUCAACCCCGGGACUGCAUUUGAAACUGUCAGGCUGGAGUGCAGGAGAGGUAAGUGGAAUUCCUAGUGUAGCGGUGAAAUGCGUAGAUAUUAGGAGGAACACCAGUGGCGAAGGCGGCUUACUGGACUGUAACUGACGUUGAGGCUCGAAAGCGUGGGGAGCAAACAGGAUUAGAUACCCGCGUAG
rnacentral:rRNA from 1 species